GUGGACGUGCCGGAAUGGUUAUCGGGCAUACUAAAAAUCAUGUGGGCUCCCCGCGCAGGUUCGAAUCCUGCCGCUCACG
rfam:Nelumbo nucifera unplaced genomic scaffold scaffold00003, whole genome shotgun sequence